GUGCCUUCGGGAACCGUGAGACAGGUGCUGCAUGGCUGUCGUCAGCUCGUGUUGUGAAAUGUUGGGUUAAGUCCCGCAACGAGCGCAACCCUUAUCCUUUGUUGCCAGCGGUCCGGCCGGGAACUCAAAGGAGACUGCCAGUGAUAAACUGGAGGAAGGUGGGGAUGACGUCAAGUCAUCAUGGCCCUUACGACCAGGGCUACACACGUGCUACAAUGGCGCAUACAAAGAGAAGCGACCUCGCGAGAGCAAGCGGACCUCAUAAAGUGCGUCGUAGUCCGGAUUGGAGUCUGCAACUCGACUCCAUGAAGUCGGAAUCGCUAGUAAUCGUGGAUCAGAAUGCCACGGUGAAUACGUUCCCGGGCCUUGUACACACCGCCCGUCACACCAUGGGAGUGGGUUGCAAAAGAAGUAGGUAGCUUAACCUUCGGGAGGGCGCUUACCACUUUGUGAUUCAUGACUGGGGUGAAGUCGUAACAAGGUAACCGUAGGGGAACCUGCGGUUGGAUCACCUCCUUACCUUAAAGAAGC
rnacentral:rRNA from 1 species